rnacentral:rRNA from 1 species
CCUGGCUCAGGAUGAACGCUGGCGGCGUGCCUAACACAUGCAAGUCGAGCGAGAAGCUGAUGACUGAUUCUUCGGAUGAGAGAUUCAGUGGAAAGCGGCGGACGGGUGAGUAACGCGUAGGCAACCUGCCCUUUGCAGAGGGAUAGCCAUUGGAAACGAUGAUUAAAACCUCAUAAUACCUUUUUCCUGCAUAGGAGAGAGGUCAAAGAUUUAUCGGCAAAGGAUGGGCCUGCGUCUGAUUAGCUGGUUGGUGGGGUAACGGCUCACCAAGGCGACGAUCAGUAGCCGACCUGAGAGGGUGAUCGGCCACAUUGGAACUGAGACACGGUCCAAACUCCUACGGGAGGCAGCAGUGGGGAAUAUUGCACAAUGGGCGAAAGCCUGAUGCAGCAACGCCGCGUGAAGGAGGAAGGCCUUCGGGUCGUAAACUUCUGUCCUUGAGGAAGAAGAAAUGACGGUACUCAAGGAGGAAGCCCCGGCUAACUACGUGCC